GACAAUUGCGGAAAAGGUUAUUCAAUUAAACUAGAACAGCUACAACUUGAAGCUGCACGAAUUGUAACAGGUUUGCCUGUUUACACACACUCUGAGACUGUCUUAAAAGAGGUUGGUUGGGAAACUUUAGAGGAACGAAGAAAAAGAAGAAAACUACAAUUAUUUUAUAAAAUUCAGAAUAAUAAUGCCCCUGAAUAUUUAUGUAACCUUGUGCCCCCUAAAAUUCAAAGUACAACACAAUAUCCCUUGCGAAAUGGACAAGAUAUCAUUUUACCAUUUUGCAGGCUGACACUAACUUCCCAAUCCUUUAUCCCAUCAACA
rnacentral:lncRNA from 1 species